ACUCAGCUCGUACCUCUGAGCCUGAGGUCAGAGGCAGGCAGAGCAGAGGGUGGCCAUGGAUCUCCCCCCAUCCCUGAGGCUGCCUGCAACCCUUCUGGGAAGCAUUUCAACCUCUUACCAGCAAGCACUGCCCUCGUUGCCGUGGUUACAGUAGAACCACCCACCCACCCACCAAGGCCUCCCAGGACAGGAUCCCCAGCUGCUCAGUGUGAAGUCUAGCUCUGGAAAAAGAAGGAGGAGAGAGAGACUGAUUAUGUAAGAGCAUCCGCUGCCACUCAGCCACCAGCCAGGAAAGGAAGACCCACCGUGCCCACGGAGACACCCAGCCCUGCCUUCACACACAAGAAGGGACUCCGAGGCACCCCGGUGGCUGCCUGGAGCCAAGGAGUCUGGACUUUCAGGCAUGCAUUUACACAGUGACGGAGCUGGGACCCAGGACUUCAAGCAAGCCAGACAAACACUCUACCAACAAGUCCCCUCCCCAGCCCCAGUGAGAUCUUUUCAUUGUUAUUUUGUGCAUGCCAGCACAUCCUUCACCCCCCAGACACCCCACCUUUGCUACUCUGUAGGGGAUCCCACUUCCCCGGCAGUACUACAGCAACCCACCUGGUUAAUAUCACACCCCAAUACAAUCUUGAAGUGUAGAUUUUGCAUCUCUUCCCUUUCAUUUGACGCCAUGAAUUUGGGGUGCUGUCAUGUUGACCCGUGUGUGGACAGUUUCCUCUUGUUUCCCUUGCUCGGUAAUAGUCCCGUAUGCCCACAGGUCACUGUGUGUCUACCCACCCAUAAAGAAGCAUCUGGGUCGAUCUGGCCUUUGAUGAGGAUGAAGAAGGCUACAAGCCUCAGCGGACAGGCCUUGGUGUGGAGAAGGCUUCCUUCUCUUCUGAGUCCCACUGUCCUUCAGACCGUUGAGGUUCUGCAUGCCAGCCACAGAGCCUGGGCUGUCCACCACCAUCACUUAUGCCUGAGCUCCCUGUGCUUCCUCACAAAGUCACACACAACCAAGAGGUUCUUCACCACGUCCAAAUAGAAGAAACCCUGUUGUGCCUUCUCUGUGUGUUCGCGCAGACGCAGGUGCACGCCCGUAGGCACACACAGAGGACACAGGAGGAUGCUGGGUGUCCAACUCUGUCACUCUCCACCUUAUUUCUCUGAGGCAGGGUUUCUGGCUGGAACCUGCACCUAGGCUGGCUGCCAGAACACCACAGCUAUCCUCUUGUCUAUAUCUGACACAGCCAUGGGAUUUGUGUAGCUGAGCCUGUUUUUUGUUUUUUUUUUUGUUGUUGUUGUUAGUUUGGUUUGCUUUGGUUUUUAUUUUUUGUUUUUGCUUGGGUGCUACAAAUUCAAACGCAGGCCCUCAUGUGUGCACUGCGAAAGCUCUUCCCUGCUGAGCCAGGCCCCCAGCCCCUGUUGCAGCUUCUUCAUUCAGGAGGGACUCUAGCCUUGAACCCCGCCCGUCAUGCAUCCCAGUCUGCCUGUUCCCAAUGGGGAAGUCAGGUGGGGAAAAAGAGGCACAGCCAACCUCAUGGGUCAACCACACGUCACACGGUGGCUCCCGUAUGAGUGCCAUUGAAAUGAGAAAGCAGAAAGGACCCCCAAGGAAGCUGCCAAGAGGAAGGUGUCUGAUGACAAGCUUUGAUCUGGAGUCAGGCUCCUGGCUGUGGUAGUUUGAAUGAGAUGUCCCAGAUAUUAGGGUACCUGGUCCCACUUGGUCGUGUUGUUGGGGGCGGGGGGGCUUAUGUGUGACUUUGUUGGAGGAAGUUUAUCACUGGAAGCCUCCCUCCACUCCACUGUCAUAGACAGUUUUUUUUGUUUGUUUGUUUUUGUUUUGUUUUUUAGAUUUAUUUAUUUUAUGUAUAUGCAUACACUGCCACUCUCCUCAGACAGGCCAGAAGAGGGCAUUGGAUCUCAUUACAGAUGGCUGUGAGCCGCCAUGUAGUUGCUGGAAAUUGAACUCAGGACCUCUGGAAGAGCAGUCAGUGCUCUUAACCGCUGAGCCAUCUCUCCAAUCCUAUCAUAGACUCUUAAAUCUCUGGAACCAUAAGUUCAAAUAAAUUUUCCUAU
ensembl:antisense Gm15894 predicted gene 15894